ACAACAAAACUAUGACGAAUGUUUAAGCUUUCGAUAUUUUAAAAAUAUACGAAAAAGAAAACGUCCAUUUAAUAUCUCUAAUUUAAUAUCAAUUGAUUUAAUAUUUCCCUCGUUCGAUAUAUCGUUUUACUAAGAUAUCGUUUUCGACAUCGAUACAUUGUCAGAAUCGAUUUCUUCGUAAUUUCUGUGAAUCUCUCUCUCUCUCUCUCUCUCUCUCUCUCUCUCUCUCUCUCCCAUCCCCAUCGUCAUUGUAUCUUCGAACGACGGUUACAAGAAAAUGGUGUUGCGAUCUCGCGUCCCGUAGUCGCGCCUGCGCACAAAGACUUCUAGAUGCAUUCCACGAACGUGUAGCUCAACCUGAUUAUAAGCAAACUGUACCAAUGUAAUAUCCGCAUGAUUAACUUUGUCUCUCUUUGUCUAUACAUUAUCGCGUGCGUGCAUGCGUAUACAAAUUUGUUCAUGCAUAAAUGCAAAAGAAACUGCGUAGAAAAAAAAGAUGUUAAUUAAAAAAUUGGGGAAGAAAUAAAAACAACAAUAGCGCAAGAUCAUAUAUUCUUCGAUGUCUUGUAAUUCAUUUCAAUAAAAAUACAAGUAUAAAAGUUCGAAGGAAAAAAAAAACAAAUUCGACUUUCCCGCAUUUACUGUACGUCAGAUAUAAAGAAUUCUUCUUUACCGACCGUAAUUGAUUAAUUCAUUGCUUCGAGAUUCGUAUUUCGCCCCCAAACGCAAAAGGAAAUGUUAUUUGGCGCGCACAUGAAAAGGCAAAAGAUGCGGCGUAAAAAACGCAUGUGAGUACUGCUCGAAAAGCAGUUACGCGUGCGCCCAACACGAUAAUAUAUAGUAAGGGAGAACACGAGCGCACAACGUGCAGUGAGCCGUAUAUAAAGGUCUGAUUGCUGGACACCCGGUGAAAUAUGCCAGUCUCCGCCAAUAACCGGUAUCUUUCUUUGCUUUCUAUCUCUUUCUAACCCUCGUUCUUCCACUGAAUUUGUUCUCUCUCUCUCUCUCUCUCUCUCUCUCUCUCUCUCUCUCACUUAUCCUCUUUAUUCUUUCGCUGUCUUCGUCGAGAGUGCGAGGGAGAAUGAGAGAAGAGAGCUACAAGAGCGGUAAUCCGAGAGGGAGAGGAGAGAAGAAGAGAGGAGCGAAGAAGGAAAGAAACGAAAAGAAAGGAUGCUGGAGAAGAGAAUGGAGACGGUGAAAAGAGGCAAUACUGUGCAUUGGACGGUGAUAUUACACCGAUGACGGCACUUUCUCUCUCUCUCUCUUUCUCUUCUUUUCUCCUUUCUGUAAAAUUUGUAAAAUAUCGACUCUUAUAUUUUUCUGUAUAUCUUUUAUCAGAAAUAAAGUAUCAUUGGUUAACUAAAAGCUUUAUUAUUGUAUCGUGUAUUACUCUGCGUAAUCGGUACUUAAGAUAUUUUUUAACGAACAUUUGUUUGAUAUAAAAUGAAUGACAGGAAAAGUGUGUACAUAUAUAUAUAUAUAUAUAUAUAUAUUGUAGGAAGUUAGAAAUCAGACGGAAAGAACGUUUAUCUCAUUGAUGUAAAUUACAUCGCGAAGAACGCUGUUCCUUCCCCCUUUCUUCUUUCUUUUUUCUCUUUUGCUUGGAACAGUCAACGAUGUUACUGCUGUUCUGCUGUUGCUACUAUACUACUAAUGUCGAUCUCAUCACCGCACCACAGGGAACGGUUUUGAACUGUGGUUCUGUAGAUUAAUCACUUAGGAAUGCGAGACCGCAGGACGAAUCGAGACAAGCAUGUGGUAUUAUAUACUAAAGGUGCAUUGAUUUCUACAGUCGUUUAGAGAGAGAGAGAGAGAGAGAGAGAGAGAGAGAGAGAGA